CUGGUUUUGCCUCUAUACUGUGUGCUUUCAUUCAACACAUAUUUUAUUUUCUUUGUCUGUCAGUCCCUACAAUAGUGGCUGGGAGAUAAUGGCAGAGCUCAGGAUCCCUGUCCUCUACUGGGGAGAAAGGCAUGUAAGAAGAUGAGAAUGCCGAGUGUUAAAUGAGAAGAUCAGGAACCUGAGGCUUGAAGAAGUUAGAUGACCUGGUUAAGGCCACUUGACUGGAUUCAAACCCUGCCUGACUCCACAUGACUCCUUUGGGCAGCAUCGUGUGACCACACCACGUAAGAUCUAGGUCCUGCCUUGGAGAGCUGAUGAACCAAACCAGCAGGAAGCUAUUAUUAAUGAGCCAGGGACUGAACUGAGACCUCUCAAUGACAGCGAGCAGAUAAGACGUGUGGAAGGAUAUUCCGAGGAGGAAAUUUCAAAAUGAAGAAAACCCUUUCCUCUUGAGAUCUUGCCUCCAAACCAGGCUUUGGGUUGGGCGAGAUCCGAGAGCAGCGUUGCACCUCAAUCCAGACUG
rnacentral:lncRNA from 10 species